AUUGAACGCUGGCGGCAGGCUUAACACAUGCAAGUCGAGCGGAGAUGAGGUGCUUGCACCUUAUCUUAGCGGCGGACGGGUGAGUAAUGCUUAGGGAUCUGCCUAUUAGUGGGGGACAACAUUCCGAAAGGAAUGCUAAUACCGCAUACGUCCUACGGGAGAAAGCAGGGGAUCUUCGGACCUUGCGCUAAUAGAUGAGCCUAAGUCGGAUUAGCUAGUUGGUGGGGUAAAGGCCUACCAAGGCGACGAUCCGUAGCGGGUCUGAGAGGAUGAUCCGCCACACUGGGACUGAGGCACGGCCCAGACUCCUACGGGAGGCAGCAGUGGGGAAUAUUGGACAAUGGGGGAAACCCUGAUCCAGCCAUGCCGCGUGUGUGAAGAAGGCCUUAUGGUUGUAAAGCACUUUAAGCGAGGAGGAGGCUACUGAGACUAAUACUCUUGGAUAGUGGACGUUACUCGCAGAAUAAGCACCGGCUAACUCUGUGCCAGCCGCCGCCGUAA
rnacentral:rRNA from 1 species